UCCCGCUGAGCGCACGCACUAGCCGACAAAGUCCCUAAGCCAACCUACCGCUUCGUUAUCUUUCUCUCCAAAAAAAAGUUUUAUCCCGAUCCUCUUUUCCUCAUCUCUCAAGCGAAGCAGAGGAGGUCCAUCGUUGACGCCCAGGCGGUCGUGGGGGAGGCGGCCCGCCGGAGGAGCUCGACGAGCAGGUCGACCUGGGAGCCGGGGCAGCAGCACUACCAUCUCCUCCCCCUCUUUCCAGGAGCUGGAGCUGGGUCGGCCCAUGACCCUCCUACAGCUCCCCGUCGUUCCCCUCCUCGAUGACAUCGAUGAUGCGGUGGAUGUGGUGGCAGUUGGUGCCAGUUGGGGAAGCUCUAGUAGCGGCCAAAUCAGACGCGACCUAUCUCUGGCAGGCACAAUCCAUUGAGGCACCUGCGCCGGCCCGCACCCGCUGCCCCGUCGCGCCACCACAAGCAUCGCUAGUAGCAUCGACAGCGCUACCGCCGACGUGUCCACCGCACGCGGCGCCGGCGCCGGGUGCACCCACCGUCCCUUCCCUUAGUACAACUUCUUCACCCCUCACUUCAAUUGUAGUAGUACUACUUAGGCACUGGCAGUCGCGACCGGGUUCAGUGGCCACCAAAAUGGUCAAUGGCAGCAGGGCGGGGAGUUGGUGGGGCUCGCCGGCUGAGAUAUUUUUGUUUUCCCCCAACUGCUGGAUGGCGGCGGCGCAACUCUCAGCUUCUUGGGGGUGAGGGGAGGGAGGAAGAGAACAAGGGGGAUUGUAAUUGCUGGACAUGAGCAAAGAGUUGCUCAAAAUCAAGGUAGCAGAUAGGUGAUUUUUUUGUGAGAUGAGUUAUAGGCUAGAUUCAGAGAUUCAGAGAUAAGGGAAGAACAUGGCAACAGUCAACACACGCCAAGUCUGAUUGAAACUAGAGAGGAACGUUUAAGGUUUCUUGAUGGAAGAAGCACAAUGCCAUAAACUGAUUUUAAGAUUCAUAGAUAAGUGUUUGCUUUUUUAUGUGAUAUAUGCUUCUAUAUAUGUUACGGUCACCUUUUUAUUUUUGUUUAUAAAAUGAAAUGAAUGUCUUCCAUGCAACUUAGGGGUUUAGGGUGUUGGCUUUGCAUGAGAUACAACUGAUUUUACUACUAUAAACUCAUUUUUGCGCGAUUUGUUGCUUCAUUUACAAGCAUGAGUUUGUUUUCCAUUUUGAACUAAAGUUACUUCACUUUUAUUGAAUUCAUGGGGGCUUUUAUAUUCAGUGAUGUCCAGUCUACCUUUUUUAUUUGUUACUCUACAAACAGAUUCCUACUAUCUUGGAAGUUGGAACUAGUUGCAAAUAGUUGCUCUAGUUUUUAAUAUGGGUUGCCUGGAGUUACACGGAAGGUUGCUUUAAUUUUUACUAAAUUCAUAGGAUCUUGUUCCUUGUUAUCUUCACGUUACCAUCUUUGUUUUGUGUUAGUCCCAACUGAUUUUUACUUUCGGGAACUGUUCAUAACUACUUGCUCAUGUUUUUAGCACGAGAGUUGCCUGUAAUUACAAAUAGAGUUGCUUUAAUUUUUUAGGUAGAGGGGUAGUGAACCAAUGAUAUGUGCUUAAUUUCUGAACCAGUGGUAUGUACUGAAGAUAAAAUGAAAAGAAAACAUUGGUACUAGGUGCUCCUACCUCUUCCUAACAAAGGUUGCGCCAUUUUUUUAUCGUCAUCGCAGAGCGAAGAAAUGAACAUUUGAACCGGCUUGGGCGAACAUUCCCCAUGACCUGCGAUGCCAAUGAGGGUUUAGUGUCGUAAAAAUCAUUUUGUUAGGUUCAAUGCUUGCCCAAAAUUCCUAUUCGGUCAAAUUAGAGCUCUACUUGGCAACUCUCUCUAGUCUAACGCCGAUCUGUGUAGUUUUAGUUUGUUUUCUACUUACAAAGCCAUAAGCUGCAAUAACACGUCAUGAUCUAAGAAUCCAUGUUGGAAAAGAAACAACAUGCAUUCUUUCUAAGCAUGAGAAAAAUUUGGCAUAAAUCUUGGAAGCUUCAACCUGAUGCUGCACAUACAUCAGCUAGUCUAAUAUGGAUGACUUACAAUGGUUUUAAUUUGCUGAACUUUCGUGCGGUGUGCUCAAUUGACAGCGCCAAGAUCGAUAAACCUCUAGCUAUAUCAAAUACUUCAAGAUACUAGUUUUUGCAUCGUCCAUGAACUGUUCCUCCACACCAUGAUCAAAUACGAGGAUCAACCAUCAUCAAUUUGUGCAACUACAACAAAAAUACUCCCUCCAUCCUAUAAUAUAAGAGCAUUUUUGACACUAGUGUAGUGUCGAAAACGCUCUUAUAUUAUGGGACGGAGGGAUUAGUAAACAAGGGGCAUGCUUUUUCUAGUGUGAUCGAGGAUGGACUAGGUGCUAUCUGUCUUUUUGGAGGGUCUACUCCAUCAUGCAAACGAGCGCCCCACGUGCUCGCACGCCUAGGGUUGUGACUGGAGUUGCACAAAAUGUCAGAGGGAGUUGCCUAGGAGUGGAUCACAAGUGUCCCUGUUUUUUCCGUUUCGUCGAGUGGAGUUGCUCGGUAACAUUUUCUUACAAGUGUUUUCCGUGACAAGAGUUUGCGUAAAAUAACAUCAGGAGUUGCCUAAAUAUUGUAUUAGGAGUGGCACAAGUUAUUGGAGCAAAAUCGGUCAGAAGUUGCUUCAUUUUUGAAACAAGGGCAAACCAUUUCUUUAAUUAUUUUUCAUUUUUUGCUGUAGAAUAAAAAGGGUCGCUCAACCUGAUGCUUCACAGGGUGAAAUGGCCGAUCAACAUGAGGUACUCGUGGUUUUUUUAGAUACACUUUUUGAUGAGACGAUGAAUAUGAAGAAGGAGGCCAACCGAAAUGGGCGAAGAGAAAUGGAUAGGAAGUAAUUCUAGAAAAUAUAGUAUUAGUUGCAUCACAUGAUAGAGGGAGUUGCUUGAUCCAUACCAGUAAUUGCUCAAAAACACAGGCAGUGGAGAUCGAGAGGUGUGGAAACCAAUUCACGCUACCAAAUAGUUUAUUUCCUUUUUUAGGAUGCAAAAAACUGAAAGCAUGUCUUCAGUCUAUCCUUUUUAACCAUUGUUCGCCUAAAGAAAACCAGCCCAUGCCACCUACACAUGUUUGCUUUUUUUAUGUGAUAUAAUGCUCUUAUAUAUAUAUAUGUGCUAUUGUCACCUUUUUAUUUUUUUAUAAAAUGGAAUGAAUGUGUUCCAUGCAACUCAGGGGGUUUUGGUGUUUGUUUUGCCUGAGAUAUAAUUGAUUUUACUCUCGUAAACUCACUAUUUUGCAAUUUGUUGUUUCAGUUACAAGCAUGAGUUUGUCUGCAAAUUUCAAGUAAAGUUGAUUCAGUUUUUACUGAAUACAUGGGGAUUUAUAUUCAAUGAUCUUUAGUCUACCUUUUCUAUUUCUUGUUACUCCACAAAAUGAUUGCAAAUUUCAGCUGAAGUUGCUUCAGUUUUUACUGAAUACAUGGGGGCUUUAUAUUCAUUGAUCUUCAGUCUACCUUUUCUAUUUCUUGUUACUCCACAAAAUGAGUGCAAAUUUCAACUAAAGUUGCUUUAGUUUUUACUGAAUACAUGGGGGGCUUUAUAUUCAAUGAUCUUCAGCCGACCUUUUUGAUUUGUUCCUCUACAAACCGGUUCCUACUAUCAUGGACUACUUGCAAUUAGUUGCUCCAGUUUUUAACAUGAGUUGCCUGGAAUUACAAGAAAAGUUGAUUUCAUUUUACUAAAUUUAUAGGGGAUUCUUCCUGGUUAUCUUUAGUCUACCAUCUUUUCUUUUUGAAUCACUCCCCAAUUAAUUCUUACUGCCAGGGAACUGUUCGCAACUAGUUGCUCCAAUUUAUAGGGGACAGUUUUAUUGUGGAGAAAGGGCGUACAUGGGCUUAACAAGAUCACGAUGGAGCGACAGAGUAGGGGAGGGGGUAACAAGAUCAUGUCUUAUUUUGUGUGUGUGUUUUUUUCCGGUAACUAAGUUGUUUGGGAAAUACACAUGAGUUGCACAUAAAUUAGCUCAUAGUUGCUUUC